CUCAAACAAUCCUCCCACCUCCGCCUCCCAAGUAACUGGGACCACAGAGAUGGGGCCUUACUAUGUUUACACGGCUGGAUUCCACCUUCUGGACUCAAGCUAUCCUCCUGCCUCAGCCCCCUGAGUAGCUGGGACUAUAGGCAUACCUGAUCAUGCCCAACUUUCCUUUUUUGAAUGGGUGAAAAUUGGCCAAUUUUCAAGAUUCAGCUCCUCAAUGAAACCUAUCCUUUUUCAACCACCCAAACUGAUACUGUUUUCUUAUUUAUCUUAAUGCCAUAUUUAUAGUUGGCAUUUGUUAUCAUUCUAUCUUAUAGACAUACUAAGUGA
rnacentral:lncRNA from 1 species